rnacentral:antisense_RNA from 1 species
UCGCCGAAGUAUUCGCCAUUGCCCAGCAGAGCGAUGCGAAGCUCUUCGCCGUGAGUGCCCGUGCUGAUUACCUCGGCCUGCCCACCGGCUACAAUGAAGAAACGCUGCUUGUCUUUCCCCUGGGUGACAAGAUUCUCCCCCCGCGCCACCUCCACAGGCGCAAAGUUACGAGCCAGGCGAGCCACAAUCUCCUGGUCAAUGUUCUGGAAAAGAGGAAUGGCCCUAAGGUUUUGGGCUGUGAAGCUGGGCACACCGUCAAAGUACUGAAUCUCGAUGCGUUCGGCUUUCUUCAGUUCCACUUUGGUGCGGUUCACUCGGUAGGUGCCGCUCUCCACCUGGGUCCAAGGAAGCAUUUUCAGCAGGAGCCUCGGUGUGAUACUACCCAUCUGAGGGGGUGUUUUGGUCGUGUUCGCAAGUUUGCGAGCUGUUGCAGU